GGGCAGGCCCGGCGCGGCAGAGCCUUCCCAACCCCGCCAGGGUCGAGAGACAGCAACGGUACGGAAGUGUCUCUGGGUGCCGCCGGUCACCUGCCCGGG
rnacentral:SRP_RNA from 1 species